CGCGAGAACGGGCAGCCAAGCGCUGGGACGAACGCGCGGCGCCACCACCCACAUCAUCACUGCCCCCAGACCCCAGUCCCCCACCCGCCCAUCGCCACGCCCCCACGCCAACGCCACACCACGCGGACCGCAGCCGCGCGGCAGCUGCUCACAGCCAGGGGCGCAGCAUAGCCGCGCGUAGGCCUCCACCUCCUCCUCCCCAGCGAGCGAGAGAGCACGACGCGACCGUCACCGCACGUUGAGAUCCCCCGUAGGCUCCUGCUCUCCCCCCUUUCGAUGGUCUCCGCCAGCACGCCGCCGCUGCCGCCGCCGACGCAGCCGCAGUCCGACGCGGCCGGGUCGGGGGAGGACGCCAGCAAGAAGGUGCGGAAGCCGUACACCAUCACCAAGUCGCGGGAGAGCUGGACGGAGCAGGAGCACGACAAGUUCCUCGAGGCCCUGCAGCUCUUUGACCGUGACUGGAAGAAGAUAGAGGCUUUUGUUGGCUCCAAGACUGUCAUACAGAUAAGGAGCCAUGCACAGAAAUACUUUUUGAAGGUUCAGAAAAAUGGAACCAGCGAACAUGUCCCACCUCCACGACCAAAGCGAAAAGCUGCUCAUCCAUAUCCUCAGAAGGCCUCCAAGAAUGAACCAAACUAUGGACUCAAGACAGAUUCAUCUUCCAUCCAUAGGAACUCUGGCAUGAAUGCAACUGUUUCUUCAUGGGCCGUUAGUUCCAUCCCACCAGCUGUUGCCUCAUCGAUGGUGAAAGAAGAUUUAGGACCUGGAACACUGGGUCCAAACAAUUUUUGCUCGAGCAGUACCGAAGGCCCUCCAAGGACAUGGCAACCUGGUGAAACAAAUGAUCAAAUAAAUCAAGUUCCGUCACUUCGCCUUAUGCCGGAUUUUGCGCAAGUGUACAGCUUCUUAGGUAGUGUUUUUGAUCCAAGCACAAGUGGUCAUCUGCAGAAACUUAAGGAGAUGAAUCCAAUUGAUGUUGAAACGGCAUUAUUGUUGAUGAGGAAUCUCUCCAUCAAUUUGACCAGUCCUGAUUUUGAAGAUCAAUUGUGAUGCCAGUACUUAGUAGAGCAGAUCUUAAGUUUGGACCACUAUCUUAUAGCUCAAACUUUUGAUGCCCUGGCAUCCACAUUUCACAAGUGAGAAGACACAAGAUUAAUGCAUGCUAAGCAUACAAGAGGAAGCUGUUGUCCUCAUAUAGCACUUCUGGUGGACUUGAGCUAGGGAGUUCCAGGAGUUCAGCUCUAGCAACGAGUGCUCCUUUCAUGUAAGGAUCAAAGGCGAAUAGUGAGACCAGGUCUCUCGGCAUAUAAUUUCAGUUCGAGAGACUCUCAGGAUGGUGCUCUGCCAUAGCACCGAUGAGCAAUGAAGGCGCUUGCACCUUUGUGCUUCCUGCGCUUCAAGCCUUCGGCUGAAGAUUGUGUAAGGGUGCAGCUGUGACCCAUGUACACUAGGCUUCCGAAAGGUGAGAUUGGUCUGUGGCCGGAUGUGUAUAUAUAAUUUUUGCCCUGAAGCGUGUACCCUUCCUAUCCUAUUGGUACGGUGGUACCCCAAGCUCGGUCAUAUAGGUUCCUGAAUGCUCCUUCAGUUAAAGAAUGUCCCUGUCCUUAGUAAUGGAAAGAGGAAUGGAAAUUUUGAGUAAUGCCGGUUGCUCCCUUUUUCCUCCAUUGAGUUAUGUUACUGAUAUCAGUUUGGUUUUCUGGCUGCUAUCUGGUAUGGAGCUUCUGCCCCAUGUGGCCAUCUCUAUCUAAGCAAGCAAGUCUGUAAGUUUCACAUGAGGUGAUCAAAAUGUUGUUAAGCGGUUUACUUUCCCCAUUCGAACGAAUGUUUCUUGUUCCUAUGUAUUAUUGUUCAUUGUGCAUUAGGUGUCACUCUUGUGUAAAAGAAAAAAGAAUCACAAUGUAAAGGAGACUUGUGCACUAGCACUAUCAUUUGAAUUCUAUACAGCGUAAAAGUAACUCAGCGA